UAAAGCUACAAAUAUCCAGACAUUGUAGAAAGUUUAAGACUGAUAUUAGGGCUUGCAAAUCAGGAGCUUAUGAGGUUAUUUCUUAUGGAAAUAUUAAUACACCUUUUCCUUUUUGCAUUUUUGUCACUGUGUAUGAAUUAUUCAGCUGACCUAAUGUGGUUUAGAUUUCUGUCCCUGCCCAAAUGUCACGUUGAAUUGUAAUCCCCAGUGUUGGAAGAGGGGCCUGAUGGGAGGUGAUUGGAUCAUGGGGGUGGAUUUCCUCCUUGCUGUUCUCAUGAUAAUGAGUGAGUUCUUAUGAGAUCUGAUUGUUUGAAAGUGUGUAGCAUUGCCCGCCACCAUGCCUGACUAAUUUGUUUUUUUUUGUAUUUUUAGUAGAGACAGGGAUUUCACCAUGUUGGUCAGGCUGGUCUUGAACUCCUCACCUCAGGUGAUCCACCCACAAAUAAAUAUCACAUCUCACUUGUUCCUUUUCUAUGCCUAUAUCCUUAAAGCUAAGUAAGGCAUUUCCUUAUGCCCACACAGGUAAAUCUUAGUCAUUUUCACCUGCCCUUAGAAACUGUUCAGGCCCUGUACAGUAAUCCCUUCAAGUUUUAUGACUAUCAUUGAAUCUUUGAUAUGAAACUUCAGAAUUCUUACAUUCUAGCUCCUCAUACCUCUUCCAGAAAUCAGAAUGAAAUC
rnacentral:lncRNA from 1 species